rnacentral:rRNA from 1 species
GUGCAGCAGGCGAGAAACUUUACAAUGUGCGAAGCACGAUAAGGGAACUCUGAGUGCCUCCUAAGGAGGCUGUUCAGGUGUCUAAAAGCACCUGAAGGAAGGGCUGGGUAAGACCGGUGCCAGCCGCCGCGGUAACACCGGCAGCCCAAGUGGUAGCCACGUUUAUUGGGUCUAAAGCGUCCGUAGCCGGCUGGGUAAGUUCCUUGGGAAAUUUGGCUGCUUAACAGUCAAGCUUUCAGGGAAUACUGCCCGGCUUGGGACCGGGAGAGGUCAGAGGUACUCCAGGGGUAGGGUGAAAUCCAUUAAUCCUUGGGGGACCACCGGUAGCGAAGGCGUCUGACCAGACCGGGUCCGACGGUGAGGGACGAAGGCUA